UACAGAGGUCUCAAGCGUUGUUCGGAUCCACUGGGCGUAAAGGGUGCGUAGGCGGGUCUUUAAGUCAGGGGUGAAAUCCUGGAGCUCAACUCCAGAACUGCCUUUGAUACUGAGGAUCUUGAGUUCGGGAGAGGUGAGUGGAACUGCGAGUGUAGAGGUGAAAUUCGUAGAUAUUCGCAAGAACACCAGUGGCGAAGGCGGCUCACUGGCCCGAUACUGACGCUGAGGCACGAAAGCGUGGGGAGCAAACAGG
rnacentral:rRNA from 1 species